GAGGGUAUAGCUCAAGUGAUAGAGUGCAUGCUUAGCAUGCACAAGGUCCUGGGUUCAAUCCCCAGUACCUCCU
rnacentral:tRNA from 1 species